UCUUACCCCGCAUACCAAAUUUCAAAGAAAUUGAGUUUCUCAAAGUUUAGAUUUAUCCACAAGCAUUUUUGAAGUGGCUGCAUACGUGAGUUCUUUAUUAUUUAUUUGCUGCAUGGCUAAUUCCAGCGCUUCUUUUGUAUAAGAAGUGGCCCGCGAAGAGGUUCGGGAGUAUUUACGUGGCAACUGAAGAUUGGAAAAUCAGCCCUAAGUAAUUAUUUAAAAUUAAAUUAAAAUCAUUUGUAACAAAAGUUUGACAAUCACUGCCCAUUUUUGAAUAGGGAUAUUUUUGUCUGAUCUUUACCCGACAUGGGUAACACCGGAUUUCAGCCUACAGAGGUAGUAGACAAAUCUGGAUUAGUUUUAUCAUAUUAUCAUUGCUCAAAACUUAGGUAAACUUGCGUAAUUCGUACCUGCGCCUAAAUCGUACCUCGUCUAUAUCUCGGAUUGGGUAAUAGUUACCAGCGCUUCUGGUGGCAUAAAAUGUCAAUAAUAGUCGGCCAUAUUGCCAUGUGACAAAUAAACACCUGUUAUGUUGCUCCCGACUAAAAUAUUAAACAGGGCAACAUGAACAUCAUCAACAUUUUAGCUCGAAAUAAAAAUAGAAGAAACCAAGAAGAAGACCAUAUCAAAGAAGCUAAAUUUAAAGAAAACGAAAACACCUCAAAAAGGAAACAAGAAAAAGAAACAAGAACAAGAUGAAAAUGACAGUUGGUAUUGCAAAAUAUGUCAAGAAGACGUAAAAGAAAACAUGAUUAAAUGCAGUAAUUGUGAAGUAUGGGUACAUGAGCUAUGUGCAGGAACAACUAAAAAAAAAUGUUAUUAUUGCGAUGACUGUCAGGAUUUGGCAAAGACCAUCCGCUGUAUUAAUAAGAAUUAAUCUAGGUACAUUAAGAUUAAGAAAAAAAGGAGAAGAUUAUUAAGAUUGUGAUUUUUAAGACUGUAAACCAAUGAUAGGAUCUCAAAGUACGAUUUAAGAAUAUACUAGUACGAUUUAAGAUGAAUGGUCUUAAAUCGUACUUUUUUUAAGUUUUUGAAAAUUGUUUAUUUUUUAGAAGUUUACAAGAUUUAUGAUAUUUUUUGUUUAAAUACUAAUAGAACAUUAGUGAAAUUAUAAUUACAUAAUAUAAAUAACUGUGUAUCAUUGUUCAUUUCCAAAAUUUUUGAGGUUCUCCUUAAGUGGUACGAAUUGGGCAAGUUUACCCUAUUUAGGCAAAAACAUGUCAAAAUAAGCUAUACUUUUGCUAAAAUAUGCAAAUAAAAAUGUAGGUGAAAGACCGGAUAAACAAAUAUUUUAUAAAAUUUGCCUUUUUUCUAAAACGGCGCGGGUACACGUCUGUGUUGACCGGAGCGAGUGGUGGUCACCGCGGGGCGGGGCGGGACUUAAUGACGUGCCACGCAAUGUGAUCAGCAUUAAAAAAUAUAGCCAAAUAAGUGAGAUAUUUGAUUUGUACGUUCUUACCCCUCCGCCGAUCUUACCCCAACGCACCUUAAUGUAUGACAAUGUUAUGACAAGCUUUUUUAUAUAGUUACCUAUGUUUUAUAACCAAAUAAUAGGUUAGAUUUACUUCAAAGUGUAUUUUUCUACUGUUAUUAGUGCAUUUAAUUAAACGCUUCUUUC